CUCUCGACAACGGAUAUCUAGGCUCUCGCAUCGAUGAAGAACGUAGCGAAAUGCGAUACUUGGUGUGAAUUGCAGAAUCCCGCGAAUCAUCGAGUUUUUGAACGCAAGUUGCGCCCGAAGCCAUUCGGCCGAGGGCACGUCUGCCUGGGUGUCACGCAUCGUUG
rnacentral:rRNA from 3 species